UUAACUCAAAUUUGUAUGGAGAUGGACAGAGCUCCUACGUUAGCCGCUAGGGGCGCUGUACUAACUCCAUACAAAUUUGAGUUA
rfam:Bombyx mori DNA, contig: Bm_scaf32_contig19712, strain: p50T/Dazao, build 2, whole genome shotgun sequence.